rnacentral:rRNA from 1 species
AUACGGAGGGUGCAAGCGUUACUCGGAAUCACUGGGCGUAAAGCGCGCGCAGGCGGUCUUUUAAGUUAGAUGUGAAAGCCUACGGCUCAACCGUAGAACUGCAUCCAAAACUAUUAGACUAGAGUGUGGGAGAGGAAGAUGGAAUUAGUUGUGUAGGGGUAAAAUCCGUAGAGAUAACUAGGAAUACCAAAAGCGAAGGCAAUCUUCUGGAACACUACUGACGCUGAGGCGCGAAAGCGUGGGGAGCAAACAGGAUUAGAAACCCCGGUAGUCC